rnacentral:rRNA from 1 species
GAAAGGGCUAUUAAUACUCCAUAGGUUUAUAAACUAAAUUAAAGAGGCUCCUCUGGGGCCUUGCGUAAAACUAGGAAUAUGUCCUAUUAGGUAGUUGGCGGGGUAAAGGCCCACCAAGCCAAUGAUGGGUAGCUGGACUGAGAGGUUGAACAGCCGCAAUGGGAUUGAGAUAUGGCCCAUAUUCCUACGGGAAGCAGCAGUGAGGAAUUUUUCACAAUGGACGAAAGUCUGAUGGAGCAAUACCACGUGAACGAUGAAGGUCUUCUGAUUGUAAAGUUCUUUUAUUUAGGAAAAAAAGCGUGCUAGGAAAUGAGCGCGCCUUGAUGGUACUAAUUGAAUAAGUGACAGCUAACUAUGUGCCAGCAGCUGCGGUAAAACAUAGGUCACGAGCAUUAUCCGGAUUUAUUGGGCGUAAAGGAAGCGUAGGCGGGGAGGUUGAUCCAUUGUUAAAAGCAUUUGCUUAACAAAUGUGUGCAUUGGAGAUCGCCUCCCUAGAGUUAAUCAGGGGGUACUGGAAUUCAAUGUGUAGCGGUGGAAUGCGUAGAUAUAUUGAGGAACACCAGAGGCUAAGGCGAGUGCCUAGGAUAUAACUGACGCUGAGGCUUGAAAGCGUGGGGAGCAAAUGGGAUUAGAUACCCCAGUAGUCCACGCCGUAAACGAUGAGCAUUGGGCAUUUGACAUCUGGUCGAGUGCUGUAGCUAACGCGUUAAAUGCUCCGCCUGGGUAGUAUAUAUGCAAAUAUGAAACUCAAAGAAAUUGACGGGGACCUGAACAAGUGGUGGAGCAUGUUGCUUAAUUCGAUAAUACACGAAAAACCUUACCAAGGCUU